GUUUAGCCCUGAUUGAAAUGGCAUCCUUUUUAUUACUAAAGGGACGAAGCAAUCUGUUUUAAUUAUGAGAUUGCCACAGUUUACAAAAAAGUAAACUUCGCAAUGACAAAUAAAAAGAUAUAGUGGAAAGCAGGAAAUAGC
rnacentral:sRNA from 1 species